CUACAGACCCUUGUGAGAACUCUGAUCAUCACUCACAGACUGCCUCUGAUAUGGAUUGACCUGUUGGCUCUCCGACUACCUCACACACUUGACUGCUGCUCUGGAGUGCCCCCCGGCUGACACUGGCCAUUACACUCACUAAACCUGGUCCAAGAGUUACAAAAAAAAGUGGACAAGAAGGCAGGAUAAGAGUCUCAAAUUCAUGGCCCAUGGACCAUCUGUUGCCUGAGCAGUUCCACAGUCCAGACUGCACAAGACUGCCAACAUCGAUCAAUCCACCGGCUGUUGAUUUAUCACAUCUGCUUAGACACGAUAAAUAAAUCUCUGAGCACUCUCCCGUCUACGCCGGUACUCCACAUGAUGAGAAGAUUAGCUGGCGUCGACCUUAUUGCACACAAGACGCCACAGUAAGUACGU